GGGUCCACUAGGUAAAGGGUCCAGGAGGUAAAGGGUCCAGGAGGUAAAGGGUCCAGGAGGUAAAGGGUCCACUAGGUGAAGGGUCCACUAGGUAAAGGGUCCAGGAGGUAAAGGGUCCACUAGGUAAAGGGUCCACGGGGAGGAAUGUCCGUGUAAAGUUUGUUUUUCUUCAGCUUUCUUUAUGUUUAACAUCUCAGAUGUUUUCAAGUAACCAUGUGACUCCACAGACGAGGAAGAAGACCACAUGGUCUCAGACCCCCUGGUCUCAGAGACCCCAUGGUCUCAGACCCCUGACUUGUAGCAGUAGACUCUGUGCUUGUGCUGAGGAGGUGGGAGGCCAAAGCUGCGCCCCCCCCGGGCUCAGAGGGCCCACAGUGUCUCCGGGGCCCGCUGACGGGGUACCGAACACUUCCAUUGGACAGCCAGUCGGCAGCACAGCGGUCCAGCCCGUUAGCUUCCAGCCCCGCUAGCUUCCAGCCCCGUUAGCUUCCGGCCCCGUUAGCCUCCAGCCCGUUAGUUUCCAGCCCGUUAGCUUAGAGCCCCGUUGGAUUCCAGCCCCGUUAGCUUAGAGCCCCGUUGGCUUCCAGCCCCGUUAGCUUCCAGCCCCGUUAGCUUCCAGCCCCGUUGGCUUCCAGCCCCGUUAGCUUCCAGGCUCCAGCCCCGUUAGCUUCCAGCCCGUUAGCUUCCAGCCCAAUAGCUUCCAGCCCCGUUAGCUUCCAGGUGGCGUAGACCCGGGGACCAGGCGUGUUUGUUACGAGGAAACCUGCUGAAACCACAAUAAUGCUAAUGAUGAAUAAUGGAUCAUAAUAAAUGGACAAAAACAAUAGAUGUCAUGUGACCAGAUGAACAAUAUAUAUAUGUUUGUUGCCUCAGUGCUCCAGUGUGUAUAUAUUUAUAUAUGUAUAUAUACCCCCUGCACUGGUGAGCGAGUUCUGUGCAUCCCUGUGUAUAAAUGUAUAUAUCCGUCUUUUGUCAUAAAUCUUUAUGUUCUCACAAAAAGAUACCGUGAAUAUCGGUAAUAUGUGAUUAAUCAUGAUUAAUCCACAGAAACCUGUAAUUAAUUUGAUUAUAAUUUGUAAUCGUUUCACAGCCCUAAUAUAUAUAUAUAUAUUUGUGUAUAUAUAUAUGUGUAUGUUGUCCAGUGCUCCACUGUGUGUGUAUAUAUAUAUAUAUAUAUAUACAGUAUUUAGAUAUACUGUAUAUAUAUAUGUAGCCCUGAUAAUAUAUUUUGAUAAAGUUACUACUAAUAAUAAUAAUAAGGUGUAUAUAUAUACUAAUAUUUGAGUUUUCUAAUUUUGUUUUGCUUAUUUAAAUGUCUAAUUGAGUUGGUGAUCGGUGGUCAUUGUUUUCUGGUGUGGGAGACCAACAGCCAAUCCAGCUUAACUAUCAGUUAGAGGGGCGUGGCCUAAACGGAGGUAUGGUGGUGGAAUAGGUGACAGCAACAGCUGUUGAGCUGCGUCAACGUCAUGGUGGGACGUCAAAGGGCUGACCAAUAGUUCUGCCUGUCGGACCUACACCAGCUUCACACAUGUUGAUCUGCACCAGGAAAGCCGGAUGAGCCACAUUGGAGCUCCUGUGAGUCAGGAGACGACCACCGAGGAAGCCGAGCUGGUUCCCGAGGCUGCUGCUACAGACCUGCUGCUUCUUAUUCCGUCAGACAAUCCUUCCCUCUCUUCACUUCCCUGUCCCAACACAUCGUGAGGACUCGCAGACAUUUCACUGCCCCGUUUGUUGAGGCUUGUGUGGACAAGUGAAACGGUCACGCCCGUUUAAGGCCACUACGAUCUCCACAACGACUCGGCCUGCAACGGGGGGUGGUUUGUGUGUGUGUGCUAGGGUGGUGUGAGUGGAUUUGUGUUAUUUGUGAUAUUUAUUAUGUUUGCUGUGGUGGUUGUAUUUGUGGUAUUGUAGAGGUUCUUAGGAAGAGAGCGAAUUAUACGGGGCAGCACGGUGGCUCAGUGGUUAGCACUGUCGCCUCACAGCAAGAAGGCCCUGGGUUCGAAUCCCGGUCGUUCCAGGUCCUUUCUGUGUGGAGUUUGCAUGUUCUCCUCGUGCCUGCGUGGGUUUCCUCCGGGUACUCCGGUUUCCCCCACCAUCAUAAAGACAUGCACCGCAGCCUCAC